rnacentral:tRNA from 1 species
GCCGGGGUGGUGGAAUUGGUAGACACGCCAGGUUUAGGUUCUGGUGAGCUUUUGCUCGUGCAGGUUCAAGUCCUGUCCCCGGUA